UCAUUUUAAAAUAAGUAUAAUUGGUACGCUCUUCAGGGAUUGAACAGGAAAACAUGGUAUUGUUUUGCCACAGAGAGAGAGAGAGAGAGAGAGAGAGAGAGAUUGAUUACUGGAGGAAGGAAAAAAGGAAUGAAGGAAAAAAGGAAGAAGAAAGAGAGAGUAUAAAAACCAUUGCAAGAAAUUACAGAUCAGUGCGGGAAAGACUUGCUGACACUGGUGGCUGGAAGGAUGACAGAGAAGCUUGCCUGAUGGCAGAGCUCAUCUCACUAUGCUCCUUGCAGGUAAGGAUUUAUUCAUUUGCUCAUGCAUUCACUCAUUCAUUCAAUUAGGAAUACUGCAGUCUGUACACAAGAUGUAUGUGUGUGUGUGUAUGUGUGUGUAUUAGUUGCUUAGUCGUGUCCGACUCUUUGCAACCCCACAGAAUGUAGCCCACCAGGCCCCUCUGUCCAUGGGCCUCUCCAGGCAAGAACACUGGAGUGGGUUGCCAUUUCCUUCUCCAAAAGAAACUAUAGAAAGAAAGUGAAGUUGCUCAGUCGUGUCCGACUCUUUGCGACCCCAUGGACUGUAGCCUACCAGGCUCUUCCAUCCAUGGGAUUUUUCAGGCAAGAGUACUGGAGUGGGUUGCCAUUUCCUUCUCCAAAAGGAACUAUAGAAAGAAAGAAAGUAAAGUCGCUCAGUCGUGUCCAACUCUUUGCGAUCCCAUGGACUGUAGCCUACCAGGCUCUUCCAUCCAUGGAAUUUUCCAGGCAAGAGUACUGGAGUGGGGUGCCACUUCCUUCUCCAGGCACACAAGAUAGAACACCUCUAUUUUCAAGUUCACCAGUUAGUGAGCUCCCUAUGUGCUAGGCUUGAGAACAUAGAGGUGAGCCAGAUUUCACAGGUUCAUCCAUCUCUAGGAAUCUUAAGGCAGCAGGCACGUCCUUUCUGAGAAGCCCCCAGUCUGGAUGAGGUUCCCGUCCAUCAUAGGUGCUCCUGAGGUACUUUGCCCUCAAGCGUCACCACACACACUGCAAUGGGAGCUCUGGGCUCUGCUCCCCACAGCUCUGGUCCCAGAGAGCUUAGCAUAACACCUGGCAGCUAGUAGGUGCUCAAUGAAUAAUGGUUGGAAGACUGUAACAGUACUUCUCACAGCACUCUAUGCCAUCCAGUUACUUUUCUUCCUUCUUUCUAGUUUAAUUUUUUAUUAUUUAUGUGUUUUUUUUAAAUUGAAGUGUA
rnacentral:lncRNA from 1 species